GACGAACGCUGGCGGCGUGCCUAAUACAUGCAAGUAGAACGCUGAAGGAGGAGCUUGCUCUUCUGGAUGAGUUGCGAACGGGUGAGUAACGCGUAGGUAACCUGCCUGGUAGCGGGGGAUAACUAUUGGAAACGAUAGCUAAUACCGCAUAAGAGUAGAUGUUGCAUGACAUUUGCUUAAAAGGUGCAAUUGCAUCACUACCAGAUGGACCUGCGUUGUAUUAGCUAGUUGGUGGGGUAACGGCUCACCAAGGCGACGAUACAUAGCCGACCUGAGAGGGUGAUCGGCCACACUGGGACUGAGACACGGCCCAGACUCCUACGGGAGGCAGCAGUAGGGAAUCUUCGGCAAUGGACGGAAGUCUGACCGAGCAACGCCGCGUGAGUGAAGAAGGUUUUCGGAUCGUAAAGCUCUGUUGUAAGAGAAGAACGAGUGUGAGAGUGGAAAGUCCACACUGUGACGGUAUCUUACCAGAAAGGGACGGCUAACUACGUG
rnacentral:rRNA from 1 species